GAUGAACGCUGGCGGCGUGCCUAAUACAUGCAAGUCGAGCGAACAGAUGAGGAGCUUGCUUCUCUGACGUUAGCGGCGGACGGGUGAGUAACACGUGGAUAACCUACCUAUAAGACUGGGAUAACUUCGGGAAACCGGAGCUAAUACCGGAUAAUAUAUUGAACCGCAUGGUUCAAUAGUGAAAGACGGUCUUGCUGUCACUUAUAGAUGGAUCCGCGCUGCAUUAGCUAGUUGGUAAGGUAACGGCUUACCAAGGCAACGAUGCGUAGCCGACCUGAGAGGGUGAUCGGCCACACUGGAACUGAGACACGGUCCAGACUCCUACGGGAGGCAGCAGUAGGGAAUCUUCCGCAAUGGGCGAAAGCCUGACGGAGCAACGCCGCGUGAGUGAUGAAGGUCUUCGGAUCGUAAAACUCUGUUAUUAGGGAAGAACAAAUGUGUAAGUAACUGUGCACAUCUUGACGGUACCUAAUCAGAAAGCCGCGGCUAACUACGUG
rnacentral:rRNA from 1 species